UCGAACCUGUGUCCUCUUGGAUGCUAGUCAGAUUUGUUUCCUCUGAGCCAUGACGGGAACUCCCAGAUUCGUUUUUGAUGAGCUACAACGGGAACUCCAUGGUGAUGGUUGUUUUUAAAGAGAUUUGUCAACCGUUUCUACUGAAUUCCUUUUAUAGAUACUGGAACUUAUAAGAUGAUUUUAUGUCAUUUUAAUUCUGCUGGUGUAUUUACUGAGUCUUUAAUGUUGACUCUGCACAUGUGGCAUGAUGGCCCAUGUGAACUGUCCUGCUUUGCUAGGCUCCUGGUUUGGGGAGAAAGAUGCAAAUGACUGAGAGGCCUUCUGGGGGCACAGAUCAAGCCUUGUUCCAAGGGAGGGGAGGUGGGCUGGGGGCAGGUGAGUAAUUCCCAUGCUCCCUUGAAUGAAGGUUGGGCACUCUUUGGGGUAGAAACCCCAAGGGCAGAUGUGAUAAUAGUAGUAGUAGAAGAAAGCUGUGAAGAAAAGAAAAGAAGAAGAAUGCAAAAUAUCUUCUUAAUAAUUUUUAUUUUUGGUGUGCAUUGAAGUGACGAUAUCUUAGAUGUACUAGAUUAAAUAAAAAUAUUAGUACAAAAAAAAAAAAAGAAGAAGAAAGCUGUGGAUCAGACAUCCAAUCUCAUUUAGAUUUUCGAAAAGGCGCAGUAGUGUAAUGGGCCUAGUGGAGGACCAUUCUUUGUGUUAGGAAAAUGGGUGUUGUAUUUCGGUUAUACCAGCCUGGCCUUGGGUUUAUCACACUUGUUGAAAGUGAUGUUUGCUUUUCUCUAGGAUGCUUUCUGUCUCUUGGGUCAUUUUUUAUCUUGUGACGUGUUUCUCAUUUUAGUUAAUAUCUGGAGACCACUUGCAGGAAACAAUUUGAUAAACCGGUACCAGAAAGAAACCUUUGCACCCAGGACAAGAGUGCCCAGCGGGUGUCCAAUAGAUGUGGCACAUUUCAAGGCCUACGUGGUGGCUGAGUGUUCAAUAGGACUGUGAUUAAACUCUAUCACCGUGGUUUACUUUAUAUACGAAAGGUAUUCUUGAAAAGUUGUACAGAAAUCUAAUGUUGGGUUUAAGUGCCAUUAGGCCCUAGAAAACUUGUUUUAAAAACGUCUUAGCCAUGGCUUUUGUAUAUAUAUGUAUUUGUAAGCAAAUAACCAGUCCCUACUCACCUGUUCCACUAUUUUAAGUUUUGGAUGGAAGUGUCGUUUAGAGGCUCUGACAGCCAAAUCAGGUGUCCUUUUGUUGGGCUCAGUUUAGUUUUAUGUUGUUCCUAUGUCUGGGUUCAGAUGGAUUGUGGUGCUUGCAACAGCAUCACUGGUGAAUUACUGACCUCUUACUAAUAGGUAGCUUUAAAAACCACCUGGGAGCAGGAGCUGCCAUUGAUGGUACGCAUAGGUUUGUCGGUGACUGUGAAAGGCCUUGCACUUUUAACACUCUGGGCAGAGGAGCUUGGUGACUCAGCCACACUAAUCGGCAGCCGCCGCGUGGGACAGAUGGCCUGUAUGUGGAGCCCAGCUCUGCCAGUUCCCACCUCAGCGAUUAUGGUAGGAAGUAGAACAGCUUCUACAUCUGAUGCCCACAGGAUAGGGCAUGGCUAAGAGGCAGCUCUGUUUAAGCGUUUGUUGUUCCAGCUCAACUUCCACGCAGCGGGCGCCAAGACCUAGUGUGCAAAGAAGUGGUGAGUGUUUGCAAGCAUGAGGGCCGUUGAGGGCGAGUGGAUCGUGGCCUUGGCAGCAGCUACUUCCCUGGGUCAGCCUGCUGGUGGAGUUCAUAGAGAAGCCGAGAGACUCAGUAUUUGUGAAAGUCUGCCCAGGGGCCGGGGAUGCACGCCGGAAGAAAAAGCUUCUGCAGAAGAACUAGUCUCCCACUGUGCGCCUGGUCGCUAUACCUGCACGGCCUUAUAGAGGCCGAAUCCCUUGAGCUCCUACCCUCCAGCUCCUUGACCAUGCGGCACUACUAAGGGCCAGGCAGGAAUCCCACCACCGAAGCUCAGAGCUUGUGGGGACUGCCCUCUGCUCCCUCUCUGAUCACCAGUGCCCACUCACAGUCCCGGAAACUCACAUGGGGACCCAUUCUUCCCACAGGGAUUCCACAUCAGGCUGAUCAGUCCCCGAGGACCGUGAGGGAGGGUCUCCGCUUGGUGUCCCCCUGAGGAACAUGGGGUCCCCAAGCAGGGAGGAGACCCUUCCUUGCAGCUGAGUUAGACCACUGGGGCUCCACACAAAGUUACUGUGGCACAGCACGGAUGGCCACUGCUCCACUGACUGACCUCUCUUCCUGUGGGGACCAUGCCCCAAGGCUCCCUGAGACAUCCUUUCCUGCGACUUCUCUCACCUCGUCUUGGGGGAUGGGAUGAACUAAGUUGCUGUACUUCCCAUCAGAGAGGGACGUCCCUCAUCAUGUGGGAUGGCCCCUGGGGAGAGCCUGCUCUCCACCUGAUGAUGCUUGGAGAGCGGCCCAUCCAGCUGCCCUGCCGUGACAGGAAGCUCCCAUGUGCCCGUGGCCACAGGACUAGCAUGGCCUUCCUUUUUUUGAUUUCCUCAUCUGCUGAUUUUUUUUUUUUUUGUCUUUUUUUAGGGCUGCACCCAUGGCAUAUGGAGGUUCUCAGGCUAGGGGUCUAAUUGGAGCUGUAGCCACCGGCCUAUGCCAGAUCACAGCAACGUGGGACCGAGCCGUGUUUUCCACCUACACCACAGCUCACGGCAAUGCCAGAUCCUUAACCCACUGAGCAAGGCCAGGGAUCAAACCCGCGUCCUCAUGGAUGCUAGCUGAGUUCGCUAACCCCUGAGCCACGGCAAGUACUCCCCCCCGUCUGCUAAUUUUUAUUUGAUUUAUCGCGUUAAGUUUUACCUGUUAUUGGAAAUUGCCUUAAGCCAUUAUUAGGGCAUGGAAGUCUAUAAAAAUAUACACAGUAAAACCCAGAGCACUCAUCAAGAUGGUCCUUCUCCCACAGUAAGUGCAAACAUCUGAUGUGUUAUUUUUGGUUCUAAAUGACCCCAACCGAUCUCCUGCCCUGCCUGGAUUCAUCUGAUAAUCACUGCGUUUGCUUUCCACUCAGGCUCGCAUAGACAUGUGAACUCAGUGUCCAGGCUUUGCUGCACUUCCUGGAUGAGCUUCUGCAAAUGUAGAAAAAGUUGCCCAGGGCCUAUCACAACAUGCUUUUUCCAAACUGUAGAUAGCAAACAGUUGAAUCUAGUUUAGGUUUGUCAUUGCCCUUAUUUUAAAGUUGUCCUGGUUUCACUGGGCCCUGAAGAUGCUGGUUUGGCCCAGACCUGGUGACUACUCCUCAACGUUCCAUUUUGUACCUGCAUGAUAGAGGGGUCUACUCCAGAAUGGGAUUUUGAAAAUUCCUUGGGAAUAGGUAUAAAAUCCCUUUGGUUUAAAAGCAAACUCAAAAUUUGUGAAAGGAGACCAUCCUUCCUUGGGGAAUUAUUCCCUUUUGUUCUUUUAUUUACUUAUUUUUUUUUUUUUUGUAUUUUUAGAGCUGCACCUGCAGCAUAUGGAAGUUCCCAGGUUAGGGUUUGAAUUAGCUACCCCACAGCCACAGCAACACGGGAUCUGAGCCACAUCUGCAACCGAUACCAUAGCUCAUGGCAAUGCUGGAUCCUUUAAACCACUGAACAAGGCCAGGGAUGGAACCCACAUCCUCAGGGAUACAAGUCAGGUUCGAAAACCACUGAGCCACAACGGGAACUCCUCCCCUUUGGUCUUAUUCAACCUAUGAUGGAGUCUCUGGAGACUUACCGCUGAUGCCAGUGCUUGUUUGAAGUUCAGGGCCCCUGGCCACUACCUUCUCAUGUUACCAUGGGCCAAGGAGGCCAAGAAUGUAAAUGUGUAAAUGGCUACAGAAUCAGCUGUCAGCUGGUGGGUGAGACUGAACACGGUGAUUCUGGGGUCUUUGCUGUCCAAUGUUUUAUGUGGGGACUUUGGCUAGAAGGUGGGGCGUGGCCACAUGGAAUUGGUCCGACAGUGCUGGGCACUGUGAGAGCUAUGGGGCUGUGAGUUUGAACAAAAUAGGCAGCAUGCUUGGGUGGCCUGAGGGAGACAGGAGCCCAGGGACGAGUCAUUCUGAGUCACGGAUGCUCCUGAGGCAGUGAGAAGGGGGCUCGGCUUGCCCAUCUGCUGCAUGGAGGGAUCCACCUUCAGCCUGGAGGAGGGCAAGCCAGAUGGGCUUAGGGCAUCUUCUGCACCCCAGCCACCCUCCUUUUUCCAAGCUGACCUGGAAGGCUCGCUUCUCCAGUUACCUCUGGCUUCCAACACUCUCUAAAUGUUCUCCAAAAAAAAAAAAAAGAAGGAAAUAAAGAAAGAGGAAAAGGAAGAACGGAAGAGUGGAAGAAAGGAAGCGAGGAAAAGGCCAAGGUAAACAUUGCCCCACGCAAUCCCUGAGCUUCACCAAGUCUCUGACCUCUUCAUCCUUGGGCUUCCAUCCUGGCUACGGGCCAUUUCCCCUCUCCCGGCACCGUGGGCCCUCGUUGGACUUCCUGCAAGAGAAGGGCUGACCAGGCUGCGGGCCGGGCGUCCUGACCUCCUCCCCUCACACCAAGUCCACUGCAACCCUUCACCACCUUGCUUCAAACAUCGGUGUCACGUGACUGUUUCAUCACCAUGUUCAUGGGAAUUGGAACAGCGCAGAGGAUGUGCGCUGGGGAAAGGCCACGUUUACUAACAAGGUAUUUGUGUCGUUUGCAGAGGCUUUCCCAUCUCAGGGCGGCGUUCAGGCCGUGAGGGGCUGCGGCGGAGAUGGACGCAGAGGAAGAAGGGCAGAUGUGCUCUCUCACUGAAAGGCACUUUCUGAGGACCCUCGGAGCGGGCCACCAUGCCCUGGGAGCGCCCUGGUCACCUCUGUGGCCCACGAGGGGUGCUGACUCCCGCGUCUGGAAUUCUUCAAUUCUCGGGGGCCCUGUGCCCUCCUGCAGUGGUGACCUCUGCCUGCUCUUCUCCCUCCCGCGUCCUCCCCCCUCCCCCCACACUUCCCCACAUCUCAGUGGCCCUCCUGUCCUUUCCCACAGGGCCCAUCUGCUGUCCUUUUGUCACCUUGUAGCUCUUGCUUGUUAUUAAAUCUAUUUUUGAGAAAAACAA